CUCAACCCAUCCCAUUGGAGAUGUUCUCAUACACACCGGAGACACUGCGAGGCACUCGCAGAGCCAACACUUGGUGGGAGCAAAGCCAAAAUCUAGCGCACACGGCAUCGGCAUGGAUGCACGGUGAAGGGCUGGAGCCUGGAGGUCCCCACGGCCAAAAGAUCUCCGAUGACCGCUGGAUCUGCAUGGAUCGCCAAAUCAUUCGGUGAGCCUUGCUGGGGCCAGGACGCCCCGACGGACAAGCUUGAGCGAUCUCGACGCUUUCCCCCCAAAAUUGUCCACCUUACGGGGAUGACCCCUAAACGGGAGUAGCAGCACGAACAGCAUUGCGAGCACCUGGGAGACAGGAUCGAUGGAGGAGGAUGGCGGCUCCAGCAGCUGGGAGUGGUUUGUGGCUAGGGCGGGCACCGGCGAUGCGGGCGGAAUUGGAGGAGGCCCCAACGCCGGCAUCGUCGUGCAGCCCCUGCAGGCACCGCAGAAGAGCAUUGGCGAGGCGCGGGGGAUCCUGGAGCACAACCGCGUGUUUUUUUUUGAUUUAGCAUACCUGUAUUACAGGAUAAGGAAAGCAUACACAUACGAGAACAAAUACAGAAACGCUGUGUAAGGAUACAUGGGCAGUUGUUCUCGCCAUCUUACACAAAGGCCCCUGGAAGAAAUAGAAAUUACACAAAAGUCCCA